AGUGAACGCUGGCGGUAGGCCUAACACAUGCAAGUCGAACGGCAGCACAGUAAGAGCUUGCUCUUACGGGUGGCGAGUGGCGGACGGGUGAGGAAUACAUCGGAAUCUACUUUUUCGUGGGGGAUAACGUAGGGAAACUUACGCUAAUACCGCAUACGACCUACGGGUGAAAGCAGGGGAUCUUCGGACCUUGCGCGAUUGAAUGAGCCGAUGUCGGAUUAGCUAGUUGGCGGGGUAAAGGCCCACCAAGGCGACGAUCCGUAGCUGGUCUGAGAGGAUGAUCAGCCACACUGGAACUGAGACUCGGUCCAGACUCCUACGGGAGGCAGCAGUGGGGAAUAUUGGACAAUGGGCGCAAGCCUGAUCCAGCCAUACCGCGUGGGUGAAGAAGGACUUCGGGUUGUAAAGCCCUUUUGUUGGGAAAGAAAAGCAGCAGGUUAAUACCCCGCUGUUCUGACGGUACCCAAAGAAUAAGCACCGGCUAACUUCGUG
rnacentral:rRNA from 1 species